rnacentral:rRNA from 1 species
GACGAACGCUGGCGGCGCGCCUAACACAUGCAAGUCGAACGAGCGAGAGAGAGCUUGCUUUCUUGAGCGAGUGGCGAACGGGUGAGUAACGCGUGAGGAACCUGCCUCAAAGAGGGGGACAACAGUUGGAAACGACUGCUAAUACCGCAUAAGCCCACGGUGCCGCAUGGCACAGAGGGAAAAGGAGCAAUCCGCUUUGAGAUGGCCUCGCGUCCGAUUAGCUAGUUGGUGAGGUAACGGCCCACCAAGGCGACGAUCGGUAGCCGGACUGAGAGGCUGAACGGCCACAUUGGGACUGAGACACGGCCCAGACUCCUACGGGAGGCAGCAGUGGGGAAUAUUGCACAAUGGGGGAAACCCUGAUGCAGCGACGCCGCGUGGAGGAAGAAGGUCUUCGGAUUGUAAACUCCUGUUGUUGGGGAAGAUAAUGACGGUACCCAACAAGGAAGUGACGGCUAACUACGUG